CGUUGAUCUAGUCUUUUGCACAUUCCUGAAUGACGUCGUAUGUUUUUUACAGCUAUAUAACCUGAAAAACAGACAUGUUGAGACUUUUUGUACGUUUCAGAAUGUAAUAUAAUUUGACAAAAAGAAGAUUGUCAGGUGAAAUGUGUAAAUGUCUAUUAUUGUAGAAAUCACACAAGUCCGUUUCUACAUGUAUAUACUACAUGUACAUCGUCUUAACCAUUGAAAGCCAUCAAUGACCAAACGAAUAGCCAGUUGGAAUGUAGUCUUGUGAUACUAUAUUAGCAAAUAAAAUUAACGCAGAUAUGUGUAUACUUGUUUCG
rnacentral:lncRNA from 1 species